rnacentral:lncRNA from 1 species
CCUGUGAGGCCCGGGGAUCCGAGCAGCCUCUUCACUGACCGGCUUCAGGCCACUGGGUUCCACAAUUGCAUCAGUGAUCCGAACAGCCUGUCUCCUCAGUGCCAAACAGCUGGACACUUAGAGAGGGGAGGCCAUUCAUGUCCAGACAUACAGGGUCUUGGUGAUAUUCCUUUGAAAAUAUCAGCUGAGGAACAGGAAGGCACAGACAUUUGCCCAAGCUCUGGGGGUGCAGGGAGCCAGAUGCACCUCAGAGUCCCGCGACUGGUGAAGUCGGACCCCAAUGUCAGCACCCAGGCUGCCCUGCUGCAUCCUCAUUGCCAGCCACGGGGACUGCUCUGCAUUCUGCUCUAUUCGCCCUGAGCUAACAUCUAUGACAACCUUCCUCUAUUUUGUACGUGUGUCAUCACCACAGCAUGGCCACUGACGAGUGAUGUAAGUCUGCACCCAGGGACUGAACCCAGGCUGCCAAAGCACAGCAUGCCAAACUUAACCACUAGGCCACAGGGCCGGCCCCUG